rnacentral:rRNA from 1 species
GUCAUAAUAACUUCUCGAAUCGCAUGGCUUGUGCGGCGAUGCUUCAUUCAAAUAUCUGCCCUAUCAACUUUCGAUGGUAGGAUAGUGGCCUACCAUGGUGUUCAACGGGUAACGGGGAAUUAGGGUUCGAUUCCGGAGAGGGAGCCUGAGAAACGGCUACCACAUCCAAGGAAGGCAGCAGGCGCGCAAAUUACCCAAUCCCGACACGGGGAGGUAGUGACAAUAAAUAACAAUAUAGGGCUCUUUCGGGUCUUGAUAAUUGGAAUGAGUACAAUUUAAAUCCCUUAACGAGGAUCAAUUGGAGGGCAAGUCUGGUGCCAGCAGCCGCGGUAAUUCCAGCUCCAAUAGCGUAUAUUAAAGUUGUUGCAGUUAAAAAGCUCGUAGUUGAACUUCAGGCGGGGCUGGGCGGUCCGGUUAACGGGAGUACUGUCUGGCCCUGUCUUACUUCUUGGUGAGCCGGGUGGGCUUUAUUGGUUGCGGUCGGGGAAACCAGGGACUUUUACCUUGAGAAAAUUAGAGUGUUCAAAAGCAGGGAUUUGGCUGGAAUACAUUAGCAUGGAAUAAA